rnacentral:rRNA from 1 species
ACGGGAGGCAGCAGUGAGGAAUAUUGGUCAAUGGGCGGAAGCCUGAACCAGCCAAGUCGCGUGAAGGAAGACGGUAUUAUGUAUUGUAAACUUCUUUAGACGCAGAGAAAUAAGGGGCUCGCGAGCUCUGAUGCUAGUAUGCGUAGAAUAAGGAUCGGCUAACUCCGUGCCAGCAGCCGCGGUAAUACGGAGGAUGCGAGCGUUAUCCGGAUUUAUUGGGUUUAAAGGGUGCGUAGGCGGGAUGUUAAGUCAGCGGUGAAAGCGUGUAGCUCAACUAUACCGAGCCGUUGAAACUGGCGUUCUUGAGUGUAAACGAGGUAGGCGGAAUGUGACAUGUAGCGGUGAAAUGCUUAGAUAUGUCACAGAACUCCGAUUGCGAAGGCAGCUUACCAGCAUACGACUGACGCUGAGGCACGAAAGCGUGGGUAUCAAACAGGAUUAGAUACCCUGGUA